UACGUAGGGUGCGAGCGUUGUCCGGAAUUAUUGGGCGUAAAGAGCUUGUAGGCGGUUUGUCGCGUCUGCUGUGAAAAUCCGGGGCUCAACCCCGGACUUGCAGUGGGUACGGGCAGACUGGAGUGUGGUAGGGGAGACUGGAAUUCCUGGUGUAGCGGUGGAAUGCGCAGAUAUCAAGAGGAACACCGAUGGCGAAGGCAGGUCUCUGGGCCACUACUGACGCUGAGAAGCGAAAGCAUGGGGAGCGAACGGG
rnacentral:rRNA from 1 species